CCUACGGGAGGCAGCAGUGGGGAAUUUUGGACAAUGGGCGCAAGCCUGAUCCAGCCAUGCCGCGUGUGGGAAGAAGGCCUUCGGGUUGUAAACCACUUUUGUCAGGGAAGAAACGGCUUUUUCUAAUACAGAGAGCUAAUGACGGUACCUGAAGAAUAAGCACCGGCUAACUACGUGCCAGCAGCCGCGGUAAUACGUAGGGUGCAAGCGUUAAUCGGAAUUACUGGGCGUAAAGCGUGCGCAGGCGGCUUUGCAAGACAGAUGUGAAAUCCCCGGGCUCAACCUGGGAACUGCAUUUGUGACUGCAUGGCUAGAGUACGGUAGAGGGGGAUGGAAUUCCGCGUGUAGCAGUGAAAUGCGUAGAUAUGCGGAGGAACACCGAUGGCGAAGGCAAUCCCCUGGACCUGUACUGACGCUCAUGCACGAAAGCGUGGGGAGCAAACAGGAUUAGAUACCCUGGUAGUCCACGCCCUAAACGAUGUCAACUGGUUGUUGGACGGCUUGCUGUUCAGUAACGAGCUAACGCGUGAAGUUGACCGCCUGGGGAGUACGGCCGCGAGGUUGAAACUUAAGUGAAUUGACGG
rnacentral:rRNA from 1 species